rnacentral:rRNA from 1 species
AGUGACGAUAGCCUAGGAGAUACACCUGUUCCCAUGCCGAACACAGAAGUUAAGCCCUAGCACGCCUGAUGUAGUUGGGG